rnacentral:misc_RNA from 1 species
GAACGCAUCUUGCGCUCCUUGGUAUUCCGAGGAGCAUGCCUGUUUGAGUGUCGUCAAUAUCUCAACCGCACCAUUGGGGUGUGGCUUGGAUUUGGGGGUUAUGCAGGCUCUGGCUUGUAGUCUGCUCCCCUGAAAUGCAUGAGUGGUUGAACCCUCUGUUAGGUGUGAUAAUUAUCUGCGUCUGAUGGAAAGGUCAUGGCUGCUUAUAUGUCGUCGGAUUUGAUAAACUUGACCUCAAAUCAGGUAGGACCACCCGCUGAACUUA